GAGAAGACGGGGUUCGUCUACACAACGGAAUGUGACUCGGCCAUCAGAAAGGGGGACGUCCUGCCCUUUGCAUCGGCGUGGAUGGGACUGGGGGGGAUUGUGCUGAGCGAAGUUGUGGGACACGUGGACCAAAUACAGAGUUUUGCCCGAAGGCCAUGUUGACAGCUACAUCGUCCCACUCCAUCAAGAACAACAUGUUCACCAGCCAGAUGAGCUGGAGACCUUGGUGCUGUCCCUCAACUUAAGGACUAAGCUUCACCUCCGCACUGGGUCCUGUCUCCUUGAGAGAACAGGCCCGUGUUUGUCCUCCUGAUGGCGUGGUCAGUCUUAUACGGUCUC